AGAGGGGUGCAAGCGUUAAUCGGAAUUACUGGGCGUAAAGCGCGCGUAGGGUGGAUAGUUUAGUUGGGCUGUGAAAGCCCCGGGGCUUAACCUGGGGUUGCCAGCCAAUACUGGCUGUCUAGAGUACGGUAGAGGGAAGUGGAAUUUCCGGUGUAGCGGUGAAAUGCGUAGAUAUCGGAAGGAACAUCAGUGGCGAAGGCGACUUCCUGGACUGAUACUGACACUGAGGUGCGAAAGCGUGGGGAGCGAACAGGAUUAGAUACCCUGGUAGUCCACGCCGUAAACGAUGAGAACUAGCCGUUGGGAGAGCAAUCUUUUAGUGGCGCAGCUAACGCAUUAAGUUCUCCGCCUGGGGAGUACGGCCGCAAGGUUA
rnacentral:rRNA from 1 species